UCAUCAGAUGAGGGUACUGAAGUUGAGGAGGAUGAGCCCGAUACUCCUGUUGCCCUGAUUGUAGGAGUGGUAUUUGGGAUCACUGGAGCAAUACUCAUCAUAGUCAUUGUUGUCCUGGCCAUACAGAGCAAGAAGAAUCACAAAAGUGAACCAAAGAAAGUGAAAGAACUCAAGCAGGAGACACCACUGCAAGAAGAACCAAUUGAGAUGGCGUAGAGGAGAGGGGAGGAGAG